rnacentral:rRNA from 1 species
UACGAGCGGCCCAAACGUUAUUCGGAAUUACUGGGCGUAAAGCGCAUGUAGGCGGCAGCGCAAGUCGGGCGUGAAAUCCCACGGCUCAACCGUGGAAGUGCACUCGAAACUGCGCAGCUAGAGUCCUGGAGAGGAAGGUGGAAUGCUUGGUGUAGAGGUGAAAUUCGUAGAUAUCAAGCGGAACACCGGUGGCGAAGGCGGCCUUCUGGACAGUGACUGACGCUGAGAUGCGAAAGCGUGGGGAGCAAACAGG